rnacentral:rRNA from 1 species
UACGUAGGGGGCUAGCGUUGUCCGGAAUCAUUGGGCGUAAAGAGCGUGUAGGCGGCCCGGUAAGUCCGCUGUGAAAGUCGGGGGCUCAACCCUCGAAUGCCGGUGGAUACUGUCGGGCUAGAGUACGGAAGAGGCGAGUGGAAUUCCUGGUGUAGCGGUGAAAUGCGCAGAUAUCAGGAGGAACACCUAUUGCGAAGGCAGCUCGCUGGGACGGUACUGACGCUGAGGCGCGAAAGCGUGGGGAGCAAACAGG